GACCCAAAUCAAGCACACCUGCAGUCAACAGGUUAGGUUGGACAACUGUCAUGGUGGUGGUUGCUAGCUGCAGUAAGGUGUGCACGGCCCUUUUCUGCUGCUUUUUUCAAGGGACCCUCACUGUAAGCGCUGAAAAAAAUAUCAAAAUAAAAAAUAUGAAGUCUCCGUGAGAUAAGACAGUCAUAGAUGCAGUGCUGUGAGAACGACGCUUGACUGUGGAAACCAGCGUGGUGAAAACAGAUUGGAGCGGAUCUUGAAGAGAGCCACGAGGCCAGCACAGAUGAACAGAGUCCCUGAGGUGCAGAGAGGAAAGCCAGUGUUGUGUAGGCUACACUGUACAGGUUGCAGCACAUGGACAGGAAGAUGAUUGGCCUCUCGGGGUAUGAGAAGCGCUGUGAAUCCAGCAGAAAGGUCAGAACAGUCAGAGUGGUGGACAGGAAGCACAGCACAGCCCACACUGCCAUCCACGCAUCUGUGAAGACUUUAGCUCCUCUUCUGUAAAGCCCGCUGUCGUAGCCACACUGCAGGGUGCAGGUCUCUGUCUGCUUUAGCCAGGUGUACUGGUCGGGUGCAGAUCCCAGAGCCUGACACUCCUCCUGAUGGGGCGGAUGCCGUACAGGCUGGUAAGGCGGGUCCUCGUCACCCGGGCCCUCCAUGCACAUGUGAUUGUGGUCGUUUUGAGGAGGGAAGAGGCUGCAGUUGAGCACCUGGAAAGGAUGCACGAUGAAAAGUUAGGGAUUUUGGUUGUGGGUGAUAGCUGAUGGCUACACUUUGAGCUAAUUUGUAUGUAUUUUGUCACAUGUUUAUUAAAUUGGCCUU